rnacentral:rRNA from 1 species
UACGGGGGGGGUAAGCGUUGUUCGGAAUUACUGGGCGUAAAGGGCGCGUAGGCGGCCCACUAAGUCAGACGUGAAAUCCCCCGGCUUAACCUGGGAACUGCGUCUGAUACUGGAGGGCUUGAGUAUGGGAGAGGGAUGUAGAAUUCCAGGUGUAGCGGUGAAAUGCGUAGAUAUCUGGAGGAAUACCGGUGGCGAAGGCGGCAUCCUGGACCAUUACUGACGCUGAGGCGCGAAAGCAUGGGGAGCAAACAGG